GCGCGUGCUCCAGUGCUUGGAUGUUGAAGUCCAGCGUCGGGGAGAUGGUGCUCACUGACUGCUUCUCUACACUUCAUCAGGAUAUCAGGAUGGUCGUCUUCCUAGCGUUAUCCAGACUUCUGCACGCACCAGAUGGGGAAGAACGAUCCACAGACUGCUUGCUGCAAAGGUUGGCCUGCGGCUCUUCUAAUCGGCUGCAAGUGCACUGAGGUCUGAGUUUCUCAAGAUGCUUUUGGCAAGGACGACACAUGUACGGCUCAUGAACAUCUCAACAUUCCCAAUUUCUUAUUCAGUGCCUCGUACCAGUGGAUCUGUGAAGCUGAGAAAAGUUGAAGGAUGAAUUGACUGAAGGAAUCAUGUGUGAAGCUGAGGACAUGUUUAGAAUGCCUCUCUGGAACAUGUGGCUCACUUCUCCUCUAAAGGUCAGCAUCAAUGCUGACCUGGGAACCCAAGUCAUGAGGAUGGCCCAAGCUGAUGUGUGACACCAUCUGAUUCAAUCGUGAGUGUGUGUGGGGAUCAGCACCGAUGCAGGACUGCUGCAGGUGUGACGCCGUCUGACUGUAGUCGUGUGUGGGGAACAGAUGCAGGACUGCUCCAGAUGGGGAAGAACGAUCCACAGACUGCUUGCUGCAAAGGUUGGCCUGCGGCUCUUCUAAUCGGCUGCAAGUGCACUGAGGUCUGAGUUUCUCAAGAUGCUUUUGGCAAGGACGACACAGGAAUCUUUCAACAUUGCCUCGUACCAGUGGAUCUGUGAAGCUGAGAGAAAAUGUUUAGGAUGAAAUGACUGAAGGAAUCAUGUGUGAAUCUGAGGACAUGCUGAGAAAAGUUGAAGGAUGAAUUGACUGAAGGCCUAAAGCUGUGCUGCUGAGUUCAAAGAUGCCUCUCUGGAACAUGUGGCUCACUUCUCCUCUAAAGGUCAGCAUCAAUGCUGAACUGUGAACCCAAGUUAUCAGGAUGGCCCAAGCUGAUGUGUGACACCAUCUGAUUCAAUCGUGAGUGUGUGGGGAUCAGCACCGAUGCAGGACUGCUGCAGGUGUGACACCGUCUGACUGUAGUCGUGUGUGGGGAACAGAUGCAGGACUGCUCCAGGGCCUCGCACCAGUGGAUGUGUGAAUCUGAGGACAUGCUGAGAAAUGUUUAGGAUGAAUUGACUGAAGGCCUAAAGCUGUGCUGCUGAGUUCAAAGAUGCCUCUUUGCAACAUGAUGCUCACUUCUCAACAACAAAGGUGUUUGCCCAGAUAAACAUCAAUGGUGAACUGGGGACCCCAGCCAUCAGGAUGGCCCAAGCUGAUCUGUGAUGCAAUCUGACUCGCGGAUCAGCACCGAUGCAGGACUGCUGCAGGUUUGAUGCCAUCUGACUCUAGUGAUGUGUGAGAACAGCACGAUGCAGGACUGCUGCAGAUGCUUUAGGCAAGGACGACACAUGUACGGCUCAUGAACAUCUCAACAUGUAAGACUCACUGACUGAAGAAAUCAUGUGUGAAUAGUUUAAGGAUGAAUUGACUGAAGGCCUAGAGCUGUGCUGCUGAGUUCAAAGAUGUCUCUCUGGAUUAUGAUGCUCACUUCUCGACAACAAAGGUGUUUGCCCAGGUGUGACACCAUCUGAUUCAAUCGUGAGUGUGUGGGAAUCAGCACCGAUGCAGGACUGCUGCAGGUGUGACGCCGUCUGACUGUAGUCGUGUGUGGGGAACAGAUGCAGGACUGCUCCAGGUGUAUCACCAUCUGAUUCAAUCGUGAGUGGGGAUCAGCACCAAUGCAGACUCCAGCUGGAUCUGCUGCUUACUGCUUCAGGUUUAAGAAACCGGUUGUCAUGAAGAGAGAUCCGAAGCCAUCUUCUGCAACACAAUCCUGCAGUUUGCCAAGCUGUGGUACAGCCUUUCCUGUACAUGUUAUAGUUUAGAGUGCAGUUAAAUCCUUACUUGUAUUUCCAGAUUGCUGGAAUUUGAUAAUAAAUAAGUGUGACAACUCUUAA